AGCAGCUGAAGUUGGAAGACAUCUCUGUUCCAUCAUUUAUAGGCAUGGUUGUCCCCAGAGAAUUCUCUCAGAUCAGGGAAGGGAAUUUGUAAAUGAUCUUAACCACAGGCUUUGUGAAAUGUUGUGCAUCAAAAGAAGUGUGACAGCAGCAUAUCAUCCUCAAACGAAUGGGCUGGAUGAAAAGACCAACGACAACAUUAAACGUAAUGAAGGUCUGGGCUGCAAAUGUCACUGGUCAGGUUGAAGCAGUUGUUGGGCCAUAUAAGCUCUAUGACUCUUCUUUUCACUCACUGCAAGGGGUCGAGUGGCUUUCUGAUGAAGUA